GCUGAUUAACCUUUUGACUCUGACAACUGGGACUUCUCUCAACACCAACUGUUCUUUUUAGAGCACUGUGCAAAGAGACAGAGAGAAAUUCACUACUCGAUGUGUAAGCAUAUCUGCCAUUAAUUCCGAGGGGAGUUAAGUGGCUGCUCCUGCAGAAGAAUACACCCCAGUGUUCAAGACCAAAAGUUGCAAUUGGUGAUGAGAAACCCAUGGAAACCUUCUGUGAAGCUGUUCAGUUGUAG
rnacentral:lncRNA from 14 species